GGAAGCGGAAGCAGGAAGGAACUGAGAACACCAGCAUCUGCUGCCGCCCUGAAUCAGCGUUAGCAUGUGGAGGCAACCUCAGCCCCCAGUUUUUGAAGAAGGUGAUUCAGAUUCAGACACAGGAAUUAUGGUGACGGUAGAAAUGGACUGGAAGGUUCGUUCCCCUUGCCCACCAAGACUCCAGAGCAGUUUCUUUCAGGGUGGAAACAGUCCCAACCUAGAAAGCUGAUCAGAAGACUCCCACCCACAUACCAGCAAUUGGUAUCUGCAUGGCUACGUACGCAGCUUCCUCUGAAUCCAGGUGAAUAGAUGAACAAACUGUGAUACAUCUAUGCAAGGGUGGACAACUCGGCCAUCAAAACGAAUGAACUAUUAACACACAACCUGGAUGAAUCCGAACGAAAUGCAUUACGCUAAUGAUAAAGCCAGAUUCAAAGGCUACAAAGCACAUAAUCAUAUUUAUGCCAGUUACGUGACAUUCUGGAAAAAGCAAACUAUAGGGACUGAAAACAGGGGCUACAAAGGAGCACAGGGGAAUUUGGGGGGUGUCAGAUCUGUUCCAUAUCUUGAAUUGUGGGUGGCUACAGUCUCAAGGAACUUUAUACUGAAAAGAGUCAUCUACUGUUUGUAAUUAUACCUGUUUUUAAAAAACACAGAAAUUAUCACGUAUAGGAGGAAAUAGUUAUAUUACUUUCUGGACAAUUGAGUCAUAUUCUAAAAUUGAUUAAUGUUUAAGUAAAAUCUACAAAAGUUAGUUCACUAGCAAUGAAACUGUAACAAAAUAACAAGAUAUCAAUUUACAUGGCUUACAUACAUGUGCUGCCAAUAUAGAGAAAUAAUACCAUCAUUUGACAA
ensembl:lncRNA novel transcript, antisense to DSCR3